GUCCAGGGAUGGGAAUCGAACCCACUGUGUUCCGCUUACCGGGCAGAUGCCAUGUCCACUAGGCUACCCUGGA
rnacentral:tRNA from 1 species